AGCGUACACGGUGGAUGCCCUGGCAGUCAGAGGCGAUGAAGGACGUGCUAAUCUGCGAUAAGCGUCGGUAAGGUGAUAUGAACCGUUAUAACCGGCGAUUUCCGAAUGGGGAAACCCAGUGUGUUUCGACACACUAUCAUUAACUGAAUCCAUAGGUUAAUGAGGCGAACCGGGGGAACUGAAACAUCUAAGUACCCCGAGGAAAAGAAAUCAACCGAGAUUCCCCCAGUAGCGGCGAGCGAACGGGGAGCAGCCCAGAGCCUGAAUCAGUAUGUGUGUUAGUGGAAGCGUCUGGAAAGGCGCGCGAUACAGGGUGACAGCCCCGUACACAAAAAUGCACAUGCUGUGAGCUCGAUGAGUAGGGCGGGACACGUGGUAUCCUGUCUGAAUAUGGGGGGACCAUCCUCCAAGGCUAAAUACUCCUGACUGACCGAUAGUGAACCAGUACCGUGAGGGAAAGGCGAAAAGAACCCCGGCGAGGGGAGUGAAAAAGAACCUGAAACCGUGUACGUACAAGCAGUGGGAGCACGCUUAGGCGUGUGACUGCGUACCUUUUGUAUAAUGGGUCAGCGACUUAUAUUCUGUAGCAAGGUUAACCGAAUAGGGGAGCCGAAGGGAAACCGAGUCUUAACUGGGCGUUAAGUUGCAGGGUAUAGACCCGAAACCCGGUGAUCUAGCCAUGGGCAGGUUGAAGGUUGGGUAACACUAACUGGAGGACCGAACCGACUAAUGUUGAAAAAUUAGCGGAUGACUUGUGGCUGGGGGUGAAAGGCCAAUCAAACCGGGAGAUAGCUGGUUCUCCCCGAAAGCUAUUUAGGUAGCGCCUCGUGAAUUCAUCUCCGGGGGUAGAGCACUGUUUCGGCAAGGGGGUCAUCCCGACUUACCAACCCGAUGCAAACUGCGAAUACCGGAGAAUGUUAUCACGGGAGACACACGGCGGGUGCUAACGUCCGUCGUGAAGAGGGAAACAACCCAGACCGCCAGCUAAGGUCCCAAAGUCAUGGUUAAGUGGGAAACGAUGUGGGAAGGCCCAGACAGCCAGGAUGUUGGCUUAGAAGCAGCCAUCAUUUAAAGAAAGCGUAAUAGCUCACUGGUCGAGUCGGCCUGCGCGGAAGAUGUAACGGGGCUAAACCAUGCACCGAAGCUGCGGCAGCGACACUAUGUGUUGUUGGGUAGGGGAGCGUUCUGUAAGCCGUUGAAGGUGUGCUGUGAGGCAUGCUGGAGGUAUCAGAAGUGCGAAUGCUGACAUAAGUAACGAUAAAGCGGGUGAAAAGCCCGCUCGCCGGAAGACCAAGGGUUCCUGUCCAACGUUAAUCGGGGCAGGGUGAGUCGACCCCUAAGGCGAGGCCGAAAGGCGUAGUCGAUGGGAAACAGGUUAAUAUUCCUGUACUUGGUGUUACUGCGAAGGGGGGACGGAGAAGGCUAUGUUGGCCGGGCGACGGUUGUCCCGGUUUAAGCGUGUAGGCUGGUUUUCCAGGCAAAUCCGGAAAAUCAAGGCUGAGGCGUGAUGACGAGGCACUACGGUGCUGAAGCAACAAAUGCCCUGCUUCCAGGAAAAGCCUCUAAGCAUCAGGUAACAUCAAAUCGUACCCCAAACCGACACAGGUGGUCAGGUAGAGAAUACCAAGGCGCUUGAGAGAACUCGGGUGAAGGAACUAGGCAAAAUGGUGCCGUAACUUCGGGAGAAGGCACGCUGAUACGUAGGUGAAGUCCCUCGCGGAUGGAGCUGAAAUCAGUCGAAGAUACCAGCUGGCUGCAACUGUUUAUUAAAAACACAGCACUGUGCAAACACGAAAGUGGACGUAUACGGUGUGACGCCUGCCCGGUGCCGGAAGGUUAAUUGAUGGGGUCAGCGCAAGCGAAGCUCUUGAUCGAAGCCCCGGUAAACGGCGGCCGUAACUAUAACGGUCCUAAGGUAGCGAAAUUCCUUGUCGGGUAAGUUCCGACCUGCACGAAUGGCGUAAUGAUGGCCAGGCUGUCUCCACCCGAGACUCAGUGAAAUUGAACUCGCUGUGAAGAUGCAGUGUACCCGCGGCAAGACGGAAAGACCCCGUGAACCUUUACUAUAGCUUGACACUGAACAUUGAGCCUUGAUGUGUAGGAUAGGUGGGAGGCUUUGAAGUGUGGACGCCAGUCUGCAUGGAGCCGACCUUGAAAUACCACCCUUUAAUGUUUGAUGUUCUAACGUGGACCCGUGAUCCGGGUUGCGGACAGUGUCUGGUGGGUAGUUUGACUGGGGCGGUCUCCUCCCAAAGAGUAACGGAGGAGCACGAAGGUUGGCUAAUCCUGGUCGGACAUCAGGAGGUUAGUGCAAUGGCAUAAGCCAGCUUGACUGCGAGCGUGACGGCGCGAGCAGGUGCGAAAGCAGGUCAUAGUGAUCCGGUGGUUCUGAAUGGAAGGGCCAUCGCUCAACGGAUAAAAGGUACUCCGGGGAUAACAGGCUGAUACCGCCCAAGAGUUCAUAUCGACGGCGGUGUUUGGCACCUCGAUGUCGGCUCAUCACAUCCUGGGGCUGAAGUAGGUCCCAAGGGUAUGGCUGUUCGCCAUUUAAAGUGGUACGCGAGCUGGGUUUAGAACGUCGUGAGACAGUUCGGUCCCUAUCUGCCGUGGGCGCUGGAGAACUGAGGGGGGCUGCUCCUAGUACGAGAGGACCGGAGUGGACGCAUCACUGGUGUUCGGGUUGUCAUGCCAAUGGCACUGCCCGGUAGCUAAAUGCGGAAGAGAUAAGUGCUGAAAGCAUCUAAGCACGAAACUUGCCCCGAGAUGAGUUCUCCCUGACUCCUUGA
rnacentral:rRNA from 1 species